GCGAGUGGACAACCCCAUUACAUCGUUAUGUUAUGAUUAGAGUGACUAGUUUUCAUAUUUAAACAGUGAUAUGACACCUUGGUCACAAAAGAGGGUCGACAGGUCGCACACUUUACAUAGAUAGAUAUUAUGAAACAGGCGAAACAGAGUCGGUAGUUUGAAUUGGACGAGUUGUACCUUACCAUCGAUACCAGGCCUAGAGAAAGACCUGCAAUAACAGGCGAUUCACUGUACUACAAACUACCGAUUCGAAUAGUUAUUAUAACGAAGUUGAAGCGGAUCGUGACAUAAACAAGUUCAGUCGACUAGUGACCUCGUUAUCAGUUUGAAGUAAUCCAGCCAUAACAAAGGCUAGAAUGUCAAACGUUGGUAGUCAGCCCGAGAAGUUUACUCUACAAGAUGAUUUUGAAGAAAGACGAAAAUUGAAUCCCACCCAAAUGGUAGCGAAAAUAGACGAGUGGGUCAGAGCUGGAAAAUACGAAGACGACAUGGAUUCUAUAGGUAACCAAGGAUACCAUAUUGUUAGUAGAACAGUAGGAGAAUAUUAUAAAACAAACCGAGAAAAUAUUAAAGUUAUAGAUGUCGCUGCUGGUACUGGAUUAGUAUCUGUGGAGCUAAAGAAACUUGGUUUCAAAGACAUGGAUGCUGUUGACGCUAGUGAAGAAAUGAUGAAAGUUGCAAUUAAAAGAAAUAUCUUUAAUAAAUACUAUGUAGAGUAUGUUGAUGGUCAUAGACUGCCUAUUGAAACAGAUGCCUAUGAUUGUGCUGUUGUAUCCGGUGGGUUUUCACAAAGUUUUUUGCCAUGCAAUGCUUUGUUUGAAAUUGUUAGAAUCGUUAAACCAGGUGGUAUCAUAUGUAUAGAAAUGAUAGAAAGCAACUUAAAUCGUGUACCAGAAUUUGUAGAGAGACUAGAACCAUUAUGGAAGAAGUUUGCUAUGGAAGGAGUAUGGGAGGUGUUGAAAAAGGAUAUUAUACCAGAACUUGUAACAGGAGAGAACGGAUUAUUAAUGAUAUAUAAAGUUUUAACAUCUGAGAUAUCUUUUCCACAGUUACCUCCGCUUUAAUGAUAACUUCAUUAUCACAAUGUGGAAGGCGUAUGGGAGGUAUUGAGAAGGGCUGCUAUAUCCGAAAUUGUUACAGAAGAGAACGGAUUAUUAAUCACAUAUAUAGUUUUAACAUCAUCAUUAUGAAUAACACGGUUACCUCUGUUUUAAUUGGGGGUCGGAUGGUUAGCUCGUGCUCGCUGUAUCAUAAGGCCUGUCAUUGAGUCAACUGGCGUGGUUUCGAUUCCCCUGUCCAACUUCGUGGGUUUUCUCCGGUUCCUCCGGUUUCCUCCUACUACUAAAAACUCCUACGGGCUUGCGAAUUAAUGAAAUAAAAUUGAACCAUAUUAUGUUUGUCCAGAAAUGACGUAGUUUGUGUCCAAUGGACGUUACACCCCAUUUCUCUCUCUAUCUCUCUUUGAUAACUUCAUUAGUCGUCUUGUCACCGAUCUCAUUAUUUGUGUAUAUAAAAAAUUUUAAUGGA